rnacentral:rRNA from 1 species
AUUUGGAGAGGAUGCUUUUGGCGCGGCGCCGUCCGAGUUCCUUGGAACAGGACGCCACAGAGGGUGAGAGCCCCGUACGGACGGACGCCUAGCCUUUACAAAGCUCCUUCGACGAGUCGAGUAGUUUGGGAAUGCUGCUCAAAAUGGGAGGUAAAUUUCUUCUAAAGCUAAAUACCGGCCAGAGACCGAUAGCGCACAAGUAGAGUGAUCGAAAGAUGAAAAGCACUUUGAAAAGAGGGUUAAAAAGUACGUGAAAUUGUUGAAAGGGAAGCGCCUGUGACCAGACUUGCGCCCCGCGGACCACCCGGCGUUCUCGCCGGUGCACUCCGCGGGGCGCAGGCCAGCAUCGGUUCUCCUAGGGGGAUAAAGGCCGCGGGAACGUAGCUCCUUCGGGAGCGUUAUAGCCCGCGGCGGCAUGCCCCUGGGGGGACCGAGGACCGCGCUUCGGCAAGGAUGCUGGCGUAAUGGUCACCAGCGACCCGUCUUGAAACACGGACCAAGGAGUCAAGCAUUGGGGCGAGUGUAUGGGUGCCAAACCCGCACGCGAAAUGAAAGUAAACGCAGGUGAGAGCUUCGGCGCAUCAUCGACCGAUCCUGAUGUCUUCGGAUGGAUUUGAGUAAGAGCCUUACCGCUUGGACCCGAAAGAUGGUGAACUAUGCCUGAAUAGGGUGAAGCCAGAGGAAACUC